GUCCUUGUAGCUUAGACCAAAGCACAGCACUGAAGAUGCUAAGACGGACACCACCCUCCCAAGGAC
rnacentral:tRNA from 2 species